rnacentral:ncRNA from 1 species
AUACUAAAUAUGUUGUUAAGAUAACCUAGUGAAGACGAGGUAAGCACUCGGCUAGGAAGUUGUGGUAAUAAAUCCUGUUAACUUAUGCUUAGGAUACUGAGUGUAGGUACUAUCUAGGGUUUAGGUAACUGAACUUUAGGGGGUUGGGAAGACCUUGGGUAAAGCAACUUGCGUAGGUUAUUUGCUAGUAAAAAGCAAGUGUAAACGGUGGUCACAUAAAUAGACGCUCUGGUAGAGAAUAAGCCUAUAAGGACUGGAUGUGGUGUCCUUUAUUCUGUAGGUACUAAACCAAGUAUGUGAUUGGGACCUGACGUUAUGGAAACAUGGCUAUAACACUAAAACAUUGUACGAGUAGCAUAAUGGCACUAUGGUUUAAAAGCGGUGGUGCUGGGUCUUUUUCUAAUUUGAUACUUAAUUAAUUAUAUUUGGGCAAUUAAAAUAUUAAAUCUGAAUGUUCGUGUGAAAGUUGGGGGUAAGCAAUCCCACCUAGCUCUUGAAUUGAAUAGGAAGUUUAGAGGUAGCUCCUUUAGGCUCAGACCUAUUUAAGCUAUGGCUGAAUAUUACAGCGAGUAAUUGUAGUAAGACGAAAGUCUAUUUUGACAACACAUAAUUA